UUUUUUGAUGCAAUUUUAAAAGGGAUUGUUUAUUACUUUCCUUUUCUGAUAUUUCAUUGCUAGUGUAAAGAAACUCAGCAGAUUUCAGUAUGUUAGUCUUGUAUCCUGCUACCUUGCUGAAUUUGUUUAUCAGAUCUAGCAGUUUUUGUGUGGAGUCUCUAGGGUUUUCUAUAUAUAGUAUCAUGUCAUCUGCAAACAGUGACAGUUUUACCUCUUCUCUUCCAAUUUGGAUCUCUUUUAUUUCUUUGGCAAUAAAUUUUAAAAUCACCACGUGUACUUCAUGUGUUGUUUGUACUCAAAUUUACCAUUCUGUGUAGGCACCAGGAUAUCCCACCAGCCGAACUCAGUGGAGAGAACCACUCUGCAUGGGUUUGUGUCAUUACCAUUUCUUUUCCAUCUAGGGAGCAUUUGCCAUUUCAGUAUCUUGAAAACCAAUAGAUUUGAAGAGGAUGCAGACUGCACUGGACAGGAAACCACUAUUAAAAGGAAAGAAAAUUUAGCAAAGAGAAGUAUGGAGGAAAUGAGCUUGAGGGAGGCAGAAUAGGUGGAAACAAGCAAGCAGCUGGAGUUUCUCCUUCUUCGGAGGAAAUUUCAAGAUGAAAAAGCAUUUUUGUCUUCCUGGAAAACCUAAUUGGCUGGCCUGAUACGUGAGAAGCCAGCUCGCGGAUCACUUAGUACACCAAAUGUUCUGGUUUCCCACCAGCCACCCAAUCUUUUUGAUGAGCAGAGCUUUCUUUUAAGUAAACAUUUAAGGCCUAAUUGGAUCAUUGGUGUGGUGUCGCAGUAAUUAACUCCCGGCUUGGAGUAGUUACAUAAAUGAAAGUCUGAGCAGCACCCAGCACUGCGGGGAAGUCAGAGAGGGCCUGUGGGAACCAGCCAACGGGACAUAUGCACAAUUGUUCUCAGUGAUGAGGAAGAAAUAGCAGGAAUAUCUCCAGGAUACGUGGUGUGUUGUACAGAGAUUUGAGGAAAAAAAAAAAAAUCUCAACAAUGGCUGACUAGUGAUUAAGGCCUUAUUAUUAUGCUUAGCUAAGAAUAGAUGAAAAUGACCCCCAAAGAGAGAGUGCAGUGUUCUUAUUGAUUUUAUGUCCCAUUCACUGGUUAAGACUGGAUGCAGAAAGCAACGUGAGCUAUUUUCAGCCUAACAGAGGAAUUCACCGUAAGGCUACGGGGAUAUUUUGCUGGAACCCAGGAUCAAUACAGCUCGACUUCUGGGAAGGAGUGAUUUGGGAAUGGGAAAAUUUGCUGUAGUUUCUCCACAAUCUCCUGUCUCUGUUCCCCGUAGCUUGCCUCACUCCCCCCCCCCAGAAAUUUUCUCCAUGGCUGUUCGGGUAAAUAUCUAACUAUCAGCUUUCUGGGGGGAAAAUAAAGCCUUGAUCUGGAGUGUUUGCCAAUUUCCAUGGUGUAAAUACUCCCACUGUGGCUGAGUCAAAGCUCCUGCAUGAGGUGGAGCUGGGCAGAGAUGCCCAGGAGCACACCAUUAUACAGAGUUUCCACCACACAGUGCAUGGAUGUAAGUAUUCUCAAGAGCAUAGAUAGAAUAAAAUAUAAAGUCAUAAUAAUAAUGUCAAAUAAUAGGAAAUGAUUAAGAAGUGAUAUGUUGAGUAUUCAUGACCUUUGUUUUUAAUACAAUUUAUUUAGUUGUAAGGCUAUGUAAUUUGAUUUUUAAAAAUGGCUGUGCUAAGAGUUUUGGCUCGAAAAGUUCCCUGUGGUUUAAUAGUCAGCUUUUGUGAGCUGGUACAUGUGAGCACAUCACUGGCUUCUCACUUAAGUGCAUAACAUAAAGCAGCAGGGCCCGCCCCACAGCUCCCGUCCCUAACAACCUCAGGCCCAAUUCCACAUUCCAGGGAGAGAGGAUCUGGUUGGUUGAGACUGUGUCAGGUGUUCUUUUUGGCCAAUCAGCCCUGGCUGAGGGUGGGGUGGAGGCUUUUCUUUCCAGGAACGGGCAAGGAUACUGAGUGUGUUGCAAGAAUUUCUAGUAGCUUCUAUGUCCAUGGGGAAUAUUCAGAGGGUAGCAUUCAGGAUUUAUUAUGUACUGGACACUUUACAAAUAUUUUCUCAUUUUGUAGUCAGAAUUCUGUGAUCUGGGCACUAUUGUUCCCAAUUUACAGAUGAGGAAACUGAGGCCCGGAAACAUUUAAUGACUUGCUGCAGGUCACACAGGUAGUAAAUCACAGAGUUGAAAUUCAUAUUCAAGCCCAUCCUUACUUCCAAAGCCUGCUUUCCACCAACCAGUUGUUUCUGAUGGGAAGAGAUCCUGCAAAUGGGACACUUGACCCACAGUGAUAAAGUUCCUGACCCUGUGGAGGGAUCACAACAAUUGGGAAAGAGAAAAGGGGUCAAAAGAAGAGAGACUGAAUGAGAGAUAUGAGAGCAAAAGCAUGUAUUAUUUUUACCCAAAAAAACCCAAUCUCUCUGCGGCUGCCUCUCUUUUUUCUUCUAAUCUCUGAGGGUCAGGAGGCAGAUACUGGCUUCAUUGUAAUUUAGGGUUUUGCUGCAGAUCAAGUUGAGUUGAAUAGGGGUGUGGAUGUUCAUUUUUACCUUUUCCAUUGUUUGCCUUCCCUGGUCACUUUUGUGUGUUCCUGCCCCCAGGUAUUGGGCACAGUUAAUUCUUCCUGCAAUUAGUAUUCAUGGUCAGCUAAGCAGAACUAAUGCAACAAACCAUUUUUACUUUGAAGGUUAUAUUACAUGUGUCCAAGCUCCCGCGGAAAAGGCUCUUUAUGAAUCAGAUAUUCUUGACUAUCUCUAGGAAUUUAAUUUUCCCUUUUCUGAAUUUUCAAGCCUGCCUAUUGAAUUCUUUAAUGUGAUUCCCCAGGAAGCACCCAAGCCAGACAGACAACCGGAUAUAGCCAAAUUGUUGGUAUUUUAAAAAUCUUUUCUUCCCUGGAGGUGCAAGUCAAGAGUACAUGCCCCUGCUUCUUUUAGAGUGAGAGCACAGCUGCCGUCCAUGUCGGGUGUGAGCCUCUGCUCCGUCUCUCUGGAUCCUGGAGGCCAAGCAUAUGACCCAUGUCCGUGUGUUAAGACCCAGCUGACACCUGCACAACAGCACCAGAAAUUGACAAACCAAUCUUAAAAUUCAUAUGGAAUCCAAGAGACCCAGGAUGGCCAAACCAAUCUUGAAAAAGGAAGAAAGUUGGGGGAUUCAUAUUUCCCAACUUUAAAACUUACUACCAAGCAACAGGUAAUCAAGACAGUGAGGCGCUGGCAUAAGGACAGACACACAGAUCAAUGGACUAGAAUUGAGAGUCAAGAAGUAAACUCAUAUAUUCAUGAGUAAAUGACUUUUAACAAGAGUGCUAGGAACAUUCAAAUGGGGAAAACAGUGUUUUCAACAGAUGGUGCUGGGACAGCUGGAUGUCUCAGGCAAGAGGAUAAAAUUGGACCUCUGCCUCACACCACACCUAUGCAAGAUUAACUUAAAAUGGGUAAAAGACCUAAAUGAAAGACAGAAAACUGUAAACUCUUAGGAGAAAGCAGGUACAGAUAUUUGUGGAAUGGUUUCUUCGAUAUGAAACCAAAAGGGUAAACAACCAAAGAAAAAAUAAAUUGGACCCCAUCAAAGUAAAAAACUUUUGCUCUUUAAAAGAUGCUAUUAAAAAAGUGAAAAUACAACCCAUUGAGUGGAAAAGAUAUUUGCAAAUCAUAUAUCUGAUAAGCGUCUAGUAUCCAGAAUGUAUAAAGAAUUCCUACAACUCAGCAACAGAAAACCAAAGAACCUGUUUUAAAAAUUGAGCAAAGGACUUAGACAUUUCUCCAAAGAAGAUAUACAAAUGGCCAACAAGAACACGGAAAGAUACUUUACCUUACUGAUCAUUAGAGAAACUGAAACCCAAACCACAGUGAGAUACCACCCUAUGCACAUUAGGAUGGCUACAAUUAAAAAUAAAACCCAAAAGAUGACAGGUAUUGACAGAGACGUGGAGAACUGGAACUCUUGUUCACUGUUGGUGGAAAUAUAAAAUAGUGCAACUGCUUUGGAAACCAGUUUGACAGUUUCUCAAAUGUUAAACCUAGAGUGACCACAUGAUCCAGCAAUUCCCCCACGUGAUCCAGCAAUUCUUAGAUCUAUUCCCAAGAGAACUGAAAUAUGUCCACACAAAAACGUGUCCAUGGAUGGCAUGGCAGCAUUACUUGUAACAGCCAAAAAGUGGAAACAACUAAAAAAUAUCCAUUGACCGAUGAAAGAAUAAACAAAGUAUGGUAUAUUUAUACAAUGGGCUAUUAUUUGGCAAUAAAAAGUAAUGGAUACACUGAUGCAUGCUACAGUGUGGCUGAACCUUGAAAACAUUAUGCUGAGCAGAAAAAGUUAAUCACGAAAGACCACAUGUUGUAUGAUUCCGUUGAUAUGAACUGCCCAGAAUAGCAAAUCCAUAGAGGUAGAAAGUAGAUUAGUGGUUGACAGGUACCAGUAGUGGGAGAGGAAUGGGAAGUGACUGACAGUGGGGCACAGGUUUCUUUCUGGGGUGAUGAAAUUCUUUUGCAACUGGUAAUAAUUGCUAUACAACCUCAUGGAAAUAGGUGGCUGCCAAGGUCCUUCCCAGAGGCUAAAUGCCAAUUCAAUCCACAAGGGACAGGGGUGAACUCUUGGGGGUGUCAGAUAGAGGUCACCCUAAAGGAGGUCCAGAAGGGAUGAGGAAGAGUUCCAGGGAGCCAGGCAGCAGGUCCAGGAUGGAAGAUCUGGACCAAAAAAAUAUAUUCACUUGGUACUUAGGCUCUCCAGAGCUGCAUCCUCAGAUGCUGCUGGGGACACUGGUUGGAUAAUGGGCCCUGGACCCCCCAUUUCCUCUUGAAUCAAAGCAGCCCUGCUCCUGCCUGUUUCAAAGGUGGUGCCUCUAGGUAAGACUUUGUUCAAACAAAAAUUUCUGUGAUGCAAAACUCCUGACUUUAGUGAGCAAUCCUCAGCGUUGUCACUUGUACUACUGGAAUAUUAGUGAGUCUGCAUCUAAUAAGGAAGAACAUGAUGACAUUGGCAGUGACCAUCACCCACAGUUGUAGCCACCAUUCACGGGCCACUAAAUAUGUGUCGGGCCGCAUUCUAGGCGUGCAAUAUUUGAUGUUCGAUAUUCUAGGUGCAACCCUAAUGUGGUGAAUGGUCUUCUCAUUUUACAAGUGAGGAGCCUGAGGCUCUCAGAAUUGUCUUGAUGAAGUUUACACAAUUAGGGCUGUUGAUCUGGGAAAUGAACUCAGACCUUUUUAGCUCAGAGGCUGGUGCCCUUAUUGUCUUCCUGCCUUGCCCUUGAACAGUGCUUCACAGUCAGUUCUUCUGUGGCAGCCCUGCGAAGGAGGACCUGCUGUUAUUCCCAUUCUACAGUUGAAGAGAAUGAGGCGCUGAAUCUCAGUGCGGGCUGCAGAAUGGUGAGACGGGAUGGGUGCUCUGUGUACAGUGAAGCCACCCUGUUCCCUGUGCCAACCAGGGGAGCCCGCCAGAGCACAGA